UACGUAGGUGGCAAGCGUUGUCCGGAUUUACUGGGUGUAAAGGGCGUGUAGCCGGGCUGACAAGUCAGAUGUGAAAUUCCGGGGCUCAACCCCGGACCUGCAUUUGAAACUGUUGGUCUUGAGUAUCGGAGAGGCAGGCGGAAUUCCUAGUGUAGCGGUGAAAUGCGUAGAUAUUAGGAGGAACACCAGUGGCGAAGGCGGCCUGCUGGACGACAACUGACGGUGAGGCGCGAAUGCGUGGGGAGCAAACAGG
rnacentral:rRNA from 1 species